rnacentral:miRNA from 1 species
AUUGUAUUGGUCAAAAAGUUCAUUCAGGCUUUUCUGGUAAAAUGUUGCAGAAAAACCAGAAUGAACUUAUUGGCCAACCCAA